rnacentral:misc_RNA from 1 species
AACGUAGGGGGCGAGCGUUGCCCGGAUUCACUGGGCGUAAAGCGGGUGUAGGCGGUCUCUUAAGUCAGAUGUGAAAUCCUACGGCUCAACCGUGGAACUGCAUCUGAUACUGGGAGACUUGAGGACGGUAGAGGUCGGUGGAAUCCCCGGUGUACCGGUGAAAUGGGCAGAUAUCGGGGGGAACACCAGUGGCGAAGGCGGCCGACUGGGCCGAUCCUGACGCUGAGACCCGAAAGCCAGGGUAGCGAACCGG